CAGAAGUUUUAGGGGUGCCUCCAGGCCAGCAAUGGCCCCGGCGGCUGAGAUCAUACCCAUUGAACCUGCCCGGGUAAUGCCGGCGAAGGGAACAAACGAUCCGCGAGCG
rnacentral:ncRNA from 1 species